ACAGCUACACUAUGUGAAUACGGUUCUGCUACACUAAUACAAUGAUGUUUGUGUGGGGCUGUUUGAAGUGGCACUAGAAAAUUGUUCCUCUCGCUAUCCGGUGAGACAUUUUAUAGUUCAUUUGGACGUUGGGAAACUACAUUU